rnacentral:rRNA from 1 species
GAUGAUUUUAGUGCUUGCACUAAAUGAAACUAGAUACAAGCGAGCGGCGGACGGGUGAGUAACACGUGGGUAACCUGCCCAAGAGACUGGGAUAACACCUGGAAACAGAUGCUAAUACCGGAUAACAACACUAGACGCAUGUCUAGAGUUUGAAAGAUGGUUCUGCUAUCACUCUUGGAUGGACCUGCGGUGCAUUAGCUAGUUGGUAAGGUAAUGGCUUACCAAGGCGAUGAUGCAUAGCCGAGUUGAGAGACUGAUCGGCCACAUUGGGACUGAGACACGGCCCAAACUCCUACGGGAGGCAGCAGUAGGGAAUCUUCCACAAUGGACGAAAGUCUGAUGGAGCAACGCCGCGUGAGUGAAGAAGGGUUUCGGCUCGUAAAGCUCUGUUGGUAGUGAAGAAAGAUAGAGGUAGUAACUGGCCUUUAUUUGACGGUAAUUACUUAGAAAGUCACGGCUAACUACGUGCCAGCAGCCGCGGUAAUACGUAGGCGGCAAGCGUUGUCCGGAUUUAUUGGGCGUAAAGCGAGUGCAGGCGGUUCAAUAAGUCUGAUGUGAAAGCCUUCGGCUCAACCGGAGAAUUGCAUCAGAAACUGUUGAACUUGAGUGCAGAAGAGGAGAGUGGAACUCCAUGUGUAGCGGUGGAAUGCGUAGAUAUAUGGAAGAACACCAGUGGC